rnacentral:lncRNA from 1 species
AACAGCAAUGGCCUAAAUAACAAUGGUCUAAACAGCAAUGGCCUAAACAGCAAUGGUCUAAACAGCAAUGGCCUAAACAGCAAUGGCCUAAACAGACUGCAUUUAAAGUAUCAAUGUAUUCAUAUCGCUGAGGGAGAAAAAAAGGCAGCAGCAGCAAAAACAGGAAAUGCUGUUAAACAGAAAGUUCAUACCAAAUACGUCAGAAAGCCCCAGAACCGCAUACGCUUUAUUUCAAGAACUGCCAUCUCUAAGUUUAGCCUGAGCAACAAUUGGUUUACUGUCUACAGGCUUGGCUCUCACAAGUUGUGCGAUGAUUAUCCUACUAAUUAUUCUUGUUGUAAUUACUGCGACUGAGGAGCAUUCCACAGUUACAGGUGUGUAAUAUUUAAUAUUAUGAAAAAGAAAAGAAAAUCUGUGAAAUGUCAAGACCAUAUAAAUACGUAUUUUUAAUAUUUUAAAUAAGUAUA